UACGUAGGGAGCAAGCGUUGUUCGGAUUUACUGGGCGUAAAGGGCGCGUAGGCGGCAAUUUAAGUCACUUGUGAAAUCUCCGGGCUUAACUCGGAACGGUCAAGUGAUACUGCUUUGCUAGAGUGCGGAAGGGGCAAUCGGAAUUCUCGGUGUAGCGGUGAAAUGCGUAGAUAUCGAGAGGAACACCUGAGGUGAAGACGGGUUGCUGGGCCGACACUGACGCUGACAGCGCGAAAGCCAGGGGAGCAAACGGG
rnacentral:rRNA from 1 species